UACAGAGGUCCCGAGCGUUGUUCGGAUUCACUGGGCGUAAAGGGUGUGUAGGAGGCCAGGUAAGUCUGAUGUGAAAUCUCACUGCUCAACGGUGAAACGGCAUUGGAUACUGCUUGGCUAGAGGUCUUGAGGGGGAAUCGGAAUUCUUGGUGUAGCAGUGAAAUGCGCAGAUAUCAGGAAGAACACCCGUGGCGAAGGCGGCUCUCUGGGACGGUACUGACGCUGAGACGCGAAAGCGUGGGGAGCGAACAGG
rnacentral:rRNA from 1 species